rnacentral:rRNA from 1 species
GGCUCAGAUUGAACGCUAGCGGGAUGCCUUACACAUGCAAGUCGAACGGCAGCACGGACUUCGGUCUGGUGGCGAGUGGCGAACGGGUGAGUAAUGUAUCGGAACGUGCCUAGUAGCGGGGGAUAACUACGCGAAAGCGUAGCUAAUACCGCAUACGCCCUACGGGGGAAAGCAGGGGGAUCAGGGGAUCGCAAGACCUUGCACUAUUAGAGCGGCCGAUAUCGGAUUAGCUAGUUGGUGGGGUAACGGCUCACCAAGGCGACGAUCCGUAGCUGGUUUGAGAGGACGACCAGCCACACUGGGACUGAGACACGGCCCAGACUCCUACGGGAGGCAGCAGUGGGGAAUUUUGGACAAUGGGGGAAACCCUGAUCCAGCCAUCCCGCGUGUGCGAUGGACAGGCCUUCGGGUUGUGAAAGCACUUUUGGCAGGAAAGAAACGUCAUGGGCUAAUACCCCGUGAAACCUGACGGUACCUGCAGAAUAAGCACCGGCUAACUACGUGCCAGCAGCCGCGGUAAUACGUAGGGUGCAAGCGUUAAUCGGAAUUACUGGGCGUAAAGCGUGCGCAGGCGGUUCGGAAAGAAAGAUGUGAAAUCCCAGAGCUUAACUUUGGAACUGCAUUUUUAACUACCGAGCUAGAGUGUGUCAGAGGGAGGUGGAAUUCCGCGUGUAGCAGUGAAAUGCGUAGAUAUGCGGAGGAACACCGAUGGCGAAGGCAGCCUCCUGGGAUAACACUGACGCUCAUGCACGAAAGCUUCGGGAGCAAACAGGAUUAGAUACCUUGGUAGUCCACGCCCUAAACGAUGUCAACUAGCUGUUGGGGCCUUCGGGCCUUGGUAGCGCAGCUAACGCGUGAAGUUGACCGCCUGGGGAGUACGGUCGCAAGAUUAAAACUCAAAGGAAUUGACGGGGACCCGCACAAGCGGUGGAUGAUGUGGAUUAAUUCGAUGCAACGCGAAAAACCUUACCUACCCUUGACAUGUCUGGAAUUCCGAAGAGAUUUGGAAGUGCUCGCAAGAGAGCCGGAACACAGGUGCUGCAUGGCUGUCGUCAGCUCGUGUCGUGAGAUGUUGGGUUAAGUCCCGCAACGAGCGCAACCCUUGUCAUUAGUUGCUACGAAAGGGCACUCUAAUGAGACUGCCGGUGACAAACCGGAGGAAGGUGGGGAUGACGUCAAGUCCUCAUGGCCCUUAUGGGUAGGGCUUCACACGUCAUACAAUGGUCGGGACAGAGGGUCGCCAACCCGCGAGGGGGAGCCAAUCCCAGAAACCCGAUCGUAGUCCGGAUCGCAGUCUGCAACUCGACUGCGUGAAGUCGGAAUCGCUAGUAAUCGCGGAUCAGCAUGUCGCGGUGAAUACGUUCCCGGGUCUUGUACACACCGCCCGUCACACCAUGGGAGUGGGUUUUACCAGAAGUAGUUAGC